rnacentral:rRNA from 1 species
CCUACGGGUGGCAGCAGUGAGGAAUAUUGGUCAAUGGGAGAGAUCCUGAACCAGCCAAGCCGCGUGAGGGAAGACGGCCCUAUGGGUUGUAAACCUCUUUUGUCGGAGAACAAAACCCGGGACGUGUCCCGUACUGCGUGUAUUCGAAGAAAAAGCAUCGGCUAACUCCGUGCCAGCAGCCGCGGUAAUACGGAGGAUGCGAGCGUUAUCCGGUUUUAUUGGGUUUAAAGGGUGCGUAGGCGGUACGUUAAGUCAGCGGGAAAAUUGCGGGGCUCAACCCCGUCGAGCCGUUGAAACUGGCAGACUUGAGUUGGCGAGAGGUACGCGGAAUGCGCGGUGUAGCGGUGAAAUGCAUAGAUAUCGCGCAGAACUCCGAUUGCGAAGGCAGCGUACCGGCGCCAGACUGACGCUGAGGCACGAAAGCGUGGGGAUCGAACAGGAUUAGAUACCCUGGUAGUC